CCUACGGGAGGCAGCAGUGAGGAAUAUUGGUCAAUGGGCGCGAGCCUGAACCAGCCAAGUAGCGUGAAGGAUGACUGCCCUACGGGUUGUAAACUUCUUUUAUAAAGGAAUAAAGUGAGGCACGUGAGUCUUCUUGAAUGGACUUUAUGAAUAAGGAUCGGCUAACUUCGUGCCAGCAGCCGCGGUAAUACGGAGGAUCCGAGCGUUAUCCGGAUUGAUUGGGUUUAAAGGGAGCGUAGAUGGGUUGUUAAGUCAGUUGUGAAAGUUUGCGGCUCAACCGUAGAAUUGCAAUUGAUACUGGCAGUCUUGAGUACAGUUGAGGUAGGCGGAAUUCGUGGUGUAGCGGUGGAAUGCUUAGAUAUCACGAAGAACUCCGAUUGCGAAGGCAGCUUACUAAUCUGCCACUGACAUUGAUGCUCGAAAGUAUGGGUAUCAAACAGGAUUAGAUACCCUUGUAGUC
rnacentral:rRNA from 1 species